rnacentral:piRNA from 1 species
UACAACCCCACAGUCAGCAUUUUGAGCUUC